ensembl:miRNA dre-mir-7ba microRNA 7-1
UGAAAGUUGGCCUAGUUCUGUGUGGAAGACUAGUGAUUUUGUUGUUUUUAGUUAGAUGAAUUGACAACAAAUCACAGUCUACCAUACGGCACAGGCUUAGCCUC